CUCAUCGAACUUGGCCGGUUUUGUUUUUUCAGUUUGGUCAGUCUUCUCAUCAAACUCUGGUCAGUCUACGCUGCCUCAACUCUCUGCACCGAUCCUCCACUGCGUCAAGCUGACACAACGUUCUGGUUUUUCAUCAAGCUCAAACAAACUCAUCAGCACACCGACGAUGCCGAUGCCGGUGACAGCACCUGUGUUUUCAGAGAGAUUGUCGCUUUCCAUGCCGCCUCCUGGAGAAACAUAACAGGAAAAAGGAGUCAUUUUGCUGUGAAAUGUUCUGAAACUUAGACCGAGGAAAUGUAUCGAAAACAAGUAAUUAGUAUGCAGGGUGCUAACUGCUACGGUCCUGAAAACUGGAAAAUUAGCAGUAACUCGCGAUGUUUAGAGUUGUCUGUCUAGAAAUUGAUCUGGCCUCAUCAUCGGAGGCGGUAGCUUCACCUUCUA